UUCUAUCCCUAGGGCUACUCGACACUUUGGUGACAGCUGUCACAGUACUGGAGGAUCUUGCAAGGCCUUGGGAGCAUACUUGAGACAAUUUCCUGGUUCCCUUGAGUGAGUGGAUAGUUGAUUAUGUGCUCUAAUUAGCUGGCAGCCAAUGGUUGGAGCCUGAAAUUACUUGGUUGCAGGUAACAUUGAUAACACUUUGGUUACUGUAAAGGUGGAAGGUGAAGGAGCAUGUUGGCCUCUGUGUGUGUGUGUGUGUGUGUGUGUGUGUGUGUGUGUGGGGUACUGAAGUACAUGGUCUCUUGAAGCCAGACUGCACUCAGGGUGGUGGUGGCACUUCCCAGCUUUAUCACACUGGCAGUAGUGCUGCUCUUGCUCUAGGCCUGCUCCGCUGUCAUUGCCAUCUUGAGGACACCUUGACUUUCUCCUCUUGAGUUUGGUUAGAAGCUCCAUAGCUUUCUUCUAUGUUGUCUGCUUUCUAAUGUCAGGUUCUAUGGUUUCUUCCAUCAUGGUGUCGCUGCUUUAGUCUGGCCAGUCAUUUACCCCUGCUUUGCUCAAACCAUCUUGUGCUUGUGGUCCCUGCCUUCAGCCUUGCAUUUCCCUCCCUGUUCUCAGCGUAGCCCUAGAAAUCUUUCAUUUCGAUGAAACCAAUAAUGCCAUUCUUUGGUUGAAGAUGUGGGAGGCUCCUCUUCCCUCUUAGGAGGAAGUCUAAAUCUACAACCAUCAUGGUCCUGUAACACCCUGUGGCCUCGGUUAGUUUUUUCUGUCAUCUCCUAGACCCUCCUCUGUCAUGCCUAACUUCUUUUCAUGUAGCCAGAAUUGAAGCUCUGAGUGUCCUUGAACUUGUCCCUUUGAGGGUGUGGACUGUGCUGUUCUGUUCUGUCUCCGCACUACUCCCCCAACUGUGAAGCCCACUGCACCCCACUCCACCCCACCCCACUUUACUUUUUACCCAAGUUUAUCAGGAGGAGUCCUACAUACCGUUUUAGAUUUCUUCCCAGAACCACCCUGUGAGUGAUCCCAGGCUGGUAACCACCCUGGUAGACCCCAGGCUGUGGACCCACAGCCUCUGUUGUACUUCUCAUGUAUGCAGCAUCUCAUGUGCAGUUCCCUAGUUGUACUUUGAUUAGUCUCUUUCAGAGAAUCAUUGUUUUCUCCUCUGUUCUAUCAGGACCUCCUUGAGGGCACUUGCUUCUGGGCUUCCAUGGCUUCAGUGUUGACAGUCUGUUUGCUGAGCAGGGUAGCAGUUGCAGAGCUGUUGUUUGCUGUAGGUAAACACUGACCUAUUGAUCCUGCACUUAGGCUAAAAGGCAUAGAAGAAAGAAAGUCUCUGAGAGUCUGCAAGGUUCCUCAGAAGCCACUGACUCGUCUUCCCAGACUAGACCGCCCAAACUGAUGAUUUUUAAAACACCUCCUUUUGGCUCAUAAAUUUGAUUUAUCCUUGUCAGAUAUAUUUCAUUGUAAUGUAGGUAUAUAUGUGCUUGUCUCUUUUACCCACUGUGUGGUUAAAAGCCUUUGAGAGCAGAGACUAUUUAUUCACUGCUCAACUUCUGUUCUCGCAGCUACAGGACUGCACUGCCAGCUGUUCAGUAGCAGUUUAUAGAGUAAAUGGGCUGAAACAAGCCAGAAAAGUGAAGCCUGAUGUGUAGGUCGAUGUGCUAGUGAGAGUCAAGGAGGAGAGGGGCCUUUCCUUUGGGUUGGGUCUGGUGGGAAUGGAUGUGAGGAUCUUGCCCAUGCUUGGGAUGAUACUCACAUUCUUCAGUUUCAGGUCUCAGCUGUGCAAGGACUCCCUGUUGAAAGAGGUGCUUAGAAUACCAUCUUAAGAAAGUGGGCUUGGGGCAGUGGCAAGAAUGGAGGCUGCUGUGGGGAGUCUGCUCCCACUCCUAGUUAUUGAUUUGGCUUGCAAAGGAAAUAAUCAUAAGCCCAGACUUGCCAGAGUAUGAAAGGGGCUGGAGCAGGGUGUUGGGUUUUGGGUCGUUGUGCUCCCAGCUCCUCCUGUACUCUACUUUUUUUCCUUCAUAGCUGCUUUGCUGCUGGGAUUUUGGUUUAGGUUAGUGUCUUCAUUAGGAUUUCCACUGCUGUGAAGAGAGACCAUGACCUCAGCAACUCCUAUAAAGGAAAACAUUUAAAUGGGGCUGGCUUACAGUCUGAGAGGUUCAGUCUAUUAUUAUGAUGGUGGAAAAUGUAGAGAUGUGCAGGCAGACAUGGUGCUGGAGAAGGAGCUAAAAGUUCUACAUCUUGAUCUGAAGGUUGCAGGAGACUGUGAGCCAUACUAGAUGCAGCUUGAUCAUAGGAGAUCUCAAAGCCUGCCCCUACAGUGACACACUUCCUCCAACAAGGCUGAACCUCUGACUAGUGCCACUCCCUAUGUGACAAGCAUUCAACUACAUGAGUCUAUGGGACUGUAUCUGUUUAAGCCACCAUAGUUAGCUUAGUGUGUCUGGGCCUAGAGGUCAGUAACCGUGGCUGUUUUCUCAGGACCAGGUCCUCAUGUUUUCUUGGGGCUUUGGAACCCUUGGAAAUUAAGUUUGCUUAUACCAUACCUUCUUGUAGGGCUUUACCUCGGUUUAUACUUCUUUUCCUGGAAGGAUAGAUUAUCUGCCCCCUCUCUCGAAACCCCUAGGAUAGCUCUCUGAGGCCUUGGGCUUCUGGUGUCCUGACAUAGGUGGAAGGAAGGUCUACUGCUUUUUGCCAGCUUAGGCCAAUGUGUUGGAGCUAGGGAGACUAGCUUCCCUGUGUAGUCGAACAAAUCAAUAUCUAAAUGCUAAAUAAAGAAAUCACCCAAGAGCUAGAGAGAUGACUCAGGGGUUGGGAGCAUUGGCUUCUUUUCCAGAGGUCCUGAGUUCAGUUCCCAGCAACCACAUGGUAGCUCAUAACCAUCUGUAAUGAGAUCUGAUGCCCUCUUCUGGAGUGUCAGCUACAGCAUACUCAUAUGCAUUAAACAAACAAACAAACAAACAAACAAACAAAUGUGUUUAAAAAAGGAAAGAAAAAGCAAC
rnacentral:lncRNA from 1 species